GCAUAACGCGAAGAACCUUACCUGGCCUUGACAUUGAUAGAAUCUGCUAGAGAUAGCGGAGUGCCCUUCGGGGAGCUUGAAAACAGGUGCUGCACGGCUGUCGUCAGCUCGUGUCGUGAGAUGUUGGGUUAAGUCCCGCAACGAGCGCAACCCUCGUCACUAGUUACUAACGGUUCGGCCGAGGACUCUAGUGAGACUGCCUUCGUAAGGAGGAGGAAGGUGAGGACGACGUCAAGUCAUCAUGGCCCUUACGGCCAGGGCGACACACGUGCUACAAUGGGAUGUACAAUGAGACGCAAUACCGCGAGGUGGAGCAAAUCUAUAAAACAUCUCUCAGUUCGGAUUGGAGGCUGAAACUCGCCUCCAUGAAGCAGGAGUUGCUAGUAAUCGCAGAUCAGCAAUGCUGCGGUGAAUACGUUCCCGGGUCUUGUACACACCG
rnacentral:rRNA from 1 species